ensembl:lncRNA
CUCCCUUUUGCACAUAAAUGUUGAUGGCUGUCUCCACCGAGUCUACGCUGAUCAACCCGUCAUCAACAUACAAUGUUUUCCUUAUGAAGUUGGCUGCUGCAGGAUAAUCCUUCUCGUUUUGGCUUGCGAGGUACUUCAUUCCAUAAUUUGCACAGCCUGGAGAAGAUGUUGCUCGAAAGAGAUGGACCCGCAUUCGAUAUUCUUUUGGCUCUGACUUCGUAUCACCGUUUUCCCACCACAGGAAUUGGUUAGUGUCUUUGAAGCUUCAAGGGCUCUGAUGACAUUGGCUGGUGUCAAUGGUGGACAUUCCUUGAGAGAUACCCGAUGGCACAGACCCGUCACUUCUGUUGACUUUGCGACCUGAGAAGAAUUGCCAACAAUGCUCCAAACAAGGGGAUAUUUGCAGAGCUGUAGUCCUCGCUGUUGCUGCCCUCCAUUGGCGAAAUUGCAGCACUCUCCACCCUGUGUCAGGAACGACUCGCCAUCCUUCUCCCGCAGAUCUGCACGCCACUACUCUCGCUUCUUGUCUGUCAAACGCUACCUCAGCGAUGCUUCUCUCUCUCAUCACAGACACACACGUCGUAAGUAAAACUCUCACUUUAGACUCUUGGCCAUGCUGGCGUUCCAUUUUCACUGUAAUUACACUGGUCCAAUUAAAUGAGGCCAAG